AUGAACAGAAGGGAGUCGACAAGUAGAUACGGACCCCUCGUUGGUGCAAUUGAUGAAGGAACAAGCAGUGCUAAAUUUUUGGUUUUUGCUGCUGAUACAGCUGAAGUAUUAACAUAUCAUCAGUGCCCAAUAUCACAGUUUUGUCCAAAAGAUGGAUGGGUUGAACAAGAUCCUAUAGAAAUAUUAAAAGCAGUUAGAGAAUGCCUCUAUCAUACAGUGUAUAAUUUAAAACGGCUUACCAUAGAUCCAAAUGACAUAGUUGCAGUUGGUAUAACAAACCAAAGAGAAACUACGGUUGUAUGGGACUCAGUUACUGGAGAACCAUUAUAUAAUGCUAUAGUAUGGAUGGAUAUGAGAACUACUUCAAUGGUGGAUGAUGUAUUAAAAAAGAUACGUAAUAAAAAUAAAAAUUAUUUGAAACCACUUUGUGGCUUACCAAUUAGUCCAUAUUUCAGUGCUUUAAAAUUAAAAUGGUUAAUAGAAAAUGUACCUCGAGUUCGUAAGGCUCUGGAUCAAAAACGAUGCAUGUUUGGCACAAUUGAUUCUUGGUUAAUUUGGAAUUUAACUGGAGGAAUAGAUAUUGGCAUUCAUGCUACUGAUGUCACAAAUGCUUCAAGGACAAUGCUAAUGAAUAUCACAACUUUGAAAUGGGACCCAACAUUGUUAUCUUUUUUUGACAUACCUCCAGAAAUUUUACCUGAAAUUCGUAGUUCAUCAGAAAUAUAUGGUUAUAUACAAGAUAAUGUUUUAUUGGGAGUACCAAUAUCAGGAUGUUUAGGUGAUCAGCAGUCAGCAUUGGUCGGUCAAAUGUGUUUACAAAAAGGACAAGCAAAAAGUACUUAUGGUACAGGCUGUUUUCUUUUGUACAAUACAGGGACUGCUAUUGUAGAUUCAACUCAUGGGUUAUUGACAACAGUUGCUUACCAAUUUGGACCACAAGCAGCACCAGUAUAUGCUCUUGAAGGCUCUGUAGCUAUAGCUGGUGCUGUUAUUCAAUGGUUGAAAGAUAAUCUUGGAAUAUUGUCUGAUGUAAGAGAGUCUGAGACUCUUGUUGAACAAAUUCCUAGCGAUAAUCGUAUUACGUUUGUACCUGCAUUUGCUGGAUUAUAUGCUCCAUAUUGGAGAAAAGAUGCAAGGAGUGUUAUAUGUGGGAUUACUGAAGAUACUAAUAGUACACAUAUUAUAAAGGCAGCUUUGCAAGCCAUUUGUUUUCAGACAAGAGACAUUUUAGAAGCUAUGAAAGAAAACACUGGUUUAAUUUUAUCUAAAUUGUUGGUAGAUGGUGCCAUGACCAACAAUAAUUUGUUAAUGCAAAUGCAAGCAGAUAUUUGUGGAAUUCCAGUUGUGAGGCCUUUGAUGUGUGAAACUACUGCACUUGGGGUUGCAAUAGCUGCAGGAAAUGCAGAUGGUAUACGUAAAUGGGACUUAAAAAUAGAUGCUUCUGUACCAAAUGACACCUUUCUACCUUCAAUAACUGAAAAUGAACGAGAUAUAUUAUAUUCACAAUGGAAAAUGGCUAUUAAUCGUAGUUUAGGUUGGGAACCAGUAAAUAAUACUAAUGAUGACACAGGAAAUAUCCACAAAGCAACUGCUCCUGCUAUUUUUGUAAUAGGUACAAUUCUUUUGCUUAUGAUUGCCAAGUAUCAUUCUGUGUUAUGACUGAAUGAGUACAGUACCGUGUACAUAAUGCAUUUAGGCAGGUCCUGUUUGCUAACAAAUAUUUAGAUUAUUAUUUAAUGAGUUGACUAUAAUUUGCAUCGUCAAAUGGUAGUCGACCAUAAACCAUUGCAUAAAGUACUACACC